CAACAAUGUUGCAUAUAAUUAAGACCUGCCUUUGUUAGAAUCUAUGGAUUGGUCAUUUGUGCUACAAAAAGAGUAACAGUGUUAUCAUCUUCAACUGUUGCUAGGAGCACACAAUUCAUGUAUUCAGUUGUCAUGGUGAUAUUAAUGUUUUUUUUUUUUUUUUUUUCUGCUGCAGCUCAUUGAUUUGUUGUUAUAAAGAGUAUUUUUGUGGCUUUUGUGUUAAACGGCAGUAAUUACAAUGGCAAGACCCUCAGGAACAGAACGAAUCGGACUGCCUGAAGAGGACAAUCAGGAUUUUCUCACCGUGGUGUGAGUGUUGAAGAGCUCCCAGAUGUGAUAAUAACAAAAGCAACUGAUGCACACAGCAAUGAGUUUACAAGACGUCUUGCUCAUAAAUGCACAUGCCGAUCUGUCCUCUCACUUGGCAGAUGCUGAAGCGUCAAGGGGGGUGAUUAUCCAUUCCAGAUGAACACACACAUACACUCGCAUGUGGCGACACAGAUGCCCUACAACGAGCAGGCAUUGUCACCACGAUCUGCCAGCCACCUUUGGCUCAGAGGAUGCCAGAAGAGCAAAUGUUAUGGUGUUUCAUGCCACUCCAGUUCCACAGGGGACAUUAAUCAUGGGGCACCCAAGGUGGACAGGAAGUGUGACUUUGCAAAAGGUGGGCGGAGGACAGAAUCGAGGCUUUUACUGCAAAGUUCAGCUCUCCAUGGAAAACCAGUGAGAGAACCACCACUCCUCAGAUGCUCAGAUCCAUUUAAAUGCCUGAGACCGAAAAUAGCAGACAUGGAGAGUAAUUAGGCUUUCAUCCGUCUUACAUAUUACAUAUUACAGUUUAUAUAUAUAUAUAUAUAUAUAUAUAUAUAUAUAUAUAUAUAUAUAUAUAUAUAUAUAUAUAUAUAUAUAUAUAUAUAUAUAUAUAGUACAUUUAUGCUAUAGGAUUGCUAAGAUGAAAUCCUCAUUAUAUAUAUAUAUAUAUAUAAAAUAAAAAAAAACAACAGAAAAAAACAAAAACAAAAAUGUAAAUAAUAAAAAGCCGAGAAAGGAACCAAUAGGUCUCGAGUCUUAAACACUGCCUUCACCCCUCAACACAAUGUCAACAGCUUCCUGAAUGUUAAUUAUACAUUGCAUUGUGACUCUUGUGGGGUGUAUGUGUGUGUGUGUGUGUGUGUGGGGGGGGGGGGUCACACCUGUCUAUGUGUGGUUUAGCAUCGCUAAUGCAGCGAUAAUUAGGAAUGUAAUCUGCAUGAAAUCAGCCACUGAAUUAAAAAUGCUUCUAUCGUCUUCCUACUGCAGUUAAGAAUGCUGUUAAGUGAAUGUUUGGCAUUGAUGUGUCGAGGGAGGUCGACAAGUCAUGAGCUUUGUCAUGCCGCUUGUGUGAUGUGUGCUUUGCCAUCCCUCUUUCUUCUGUCUUUUAUUCCCUCCCUUUACUCAUCUUUUACAUCAUUCUUCCUGUCAUUGUUACUGUAGAUUGCGUGAUGGGUCGUAAUGUCAUAAACAAAUAAGUAUAGAUAAAUGAGUGAAUCAAAUUAUUCAUAAAAAAAAAAAAAACAUGAAUUCAUUUGGAAACCAAAUCAUCAAAUUAUUUACUCAAACAAUUUGUUUAAAAACAAUGAAUAAUUCAGGAAUGAAACAUGGGACUAGUUAAAUUCAGUACCACAUUCUAAUGUACUAUUCUUAAUAUUUAUUCCCUACUAUGGCAGAAAUAGUCAGAGUAGCAUGCUAGUAUGCAGUUCCAAAUUCAGCAAUUGUCUUUAUGAGUGAGUUACUGAAUCAUUCUCUCCACUAUUUCCACUAUUUCCAUUCUCUCAAACCAUUCAGUAUGAACACGUGACUGUGCUUAUGAAUGAGUUGUUCAAUUUAUGGAUUCAAAAACAUAAAUUCAGAAACUAAACAAGUGACUAUUUAUGAAUCAUUGUUAUUGAAUAAUUUAUUCAAUCAAUUCAUUCAAAAACAUUUAUUCAUGAUAAUAAUAAAUAAAUAAAUAAACAAACAAACAAACAAACCAAGGGGCAAGUCACUGAAUCAUUGCCUCAAACAUUUUGUUAAAACACACUUGUUCAGCAACAGAACAAGCAACUCUUCAUCAGUGAGUCACUGAAAAACUAAAAUAUAAAGGCUGAUUUAUAUGGUUUCUUAAGACUUUAAAUAUUAUCAUAAGAACUAUUUUUAUGGAGUUUUAUACAGUAGUUCUGUUUUUUUUCCUUUAUGAAACUUGAUAGGCCCUGGUCAUUGUAUGCUUAAUUCCAAACUUCUCCAUUACUGUUACAAAGAAAGUCAGUCAUUCAUUUGGAACAAUGUGAGGGUGAGUAAAUGGGACAGAAUUUUCAUUGUGAGUAAUUUGUUCCUUUAAUAUUCUGUUGCUCUGUGUGGGAUCCUCUCUGUGGGAAAAGUAGCAAAGAGAAAUCUAUUCAAAGACGCCUGUAUGAGUGGCUUUCAGCGUCUCUCUGGAAUGGAUGUGAAUCCCUGAGAUGCAUUGUUGCCACUCUGUCAAAACAAAUUUAAUAACAAAUUCUCCCACUCUUUCUUUCAACAUCUCAUUCCAUCUUUCUUUCUCAAUAAUAAUUGGGGUGAGGAUUGGGGGUGAGCUUUUGGGAGACAAGAGUAUUUGUAAUCAGCAUCGUCUCUUCUGAUUUGAAUUCAUGUUGUUGGAAACAGCUGCAGCAGGAUGGGUGGAGAUGUUACUCCCUUCUUCUUUCUCUCUCUAUUAUAUUCUAGCUUUUCUCCUCAGAGGAGCACUGAUAUUUCCACCUGGCUGCAUGCAGAAGACGCGCCUUACAUCCGAAGAAUCAGGCAUGAAACACUCGCUGCUUUCACCAAACCCUGUGCGGCAGAGCAAAGGAUUGUGGGAUACAUUGCACGACAGGAAGACAGGAAUAAAGACAGAAGGUAGUGAUUAUGAGCUAGACGGAUGAGAGAGAGCGAGAGAGAGAGAGAGAGAGAGAGAGAGAGAGAGAGGAGAGAAUGUGAAAAUCACAGCAGACAGUGUCUUCAUUUAGCCUUUUGUCUAAAUGCCAGUUAUUCCCAUUGCUGAACCUUGGAUCGGUCUACUGAGAAUCAUUCAGUCUAUUCCUGUCUAAUACCAAUUCAUCUCUCUCUUCCUCAAAGAGACAUGUUUAGACUGCAUUACCGUAAGCAUGUGCAUCUUUAAAUGUCACUGCCUAUUGAUGGCGGCUCUGGAGCUCUGUCCACGAAAAACAGAAUUAACUUGCUUCACUCGUAUCUACUAUACACUUUGAGAGCAUUAUUAUUAUUAAAAUUUUGUCACUCUCUCUGAAAAACACUUUCCUGUCACAUUCAUGAAUACAGUGCACCAUAUAUACAUUAUUUAUAUACUAUUAUAGUUUUAGCAUUUUCUAGUUUUAGCUUUUUUCUAAUAUUUAUAUUCUA
ensembl:lncRNA